rnacentral:rRNA from 1 species
UACGUAGGGCGCAAGCGUUGUCCGGAAUUAUUGGGCGUAAAGAGCUCGUAGGCGGCUUGUCACGUCGGAUGUGAAAGCCCGGGGCUUAACCCCGGGUCUGCAUUCGAUACGGGCUAGCUAGAGUGUGGUAGGGGAGAUCGGAAUUCCUGGUGUAGCGGUGGAAUGCGCAGAUAUCAGGAGGAACACCGGUGGCGAAGGCGGAUCUCUGGGCCAUUACUGACGCUGAGGAGCGAAAGCGUGGGGGAGCGAACAGG